rnacentral:rRNA from 1 species
UACGUAGGGUGCGAGCGUUAAUCGGAAUUACUGGGCGUAAAGGGCGCGCAGGCGGCUCAUUUUGUCAGGCGUGAAAGCCCCGGGCUUAACCUGGGAACUGCGUUUGAUACGGAUGGGCUAGAGUUCGGGAGAGGAGCGUGGAAUUCCCAGUGUAGAGGUGAAAUUCGUAGAUAUUGGGAAGAACACCGGUGGCGAAGGCGGCGCUCUGGACCGAGACUGACGCUGAGGCGCGAAAGCGUGGGGAGCAAACAGG